AAUUCGAUGCAACGCGAAGAACCUUACCUGGUCUUGACAUCCGAGACCUUAGGAACUAGGGGUGCUUCCAUCUGGAAGAAUCUGGAGACAGGUGCUGCAUGGCUGUCGUCAGCUCGUGUCGUGAGAUGUUGGGGUUAAGUCCCGCAACGAGCGCAACCCUUGCCUUUAGUUGCCAGCAGUUCGGCUGGGCACUCUAAAGGGACUGCCGGUGUUAAACCGGAGGAAGGUGGGGAUGACGUCAAGUCCUCAUGGCCUUUAUGACCAGGGCUACACACGUACUACAAUGGCCGAUACAAAGGGCAGCGACACUGCGAGGUGAAGCCAAUCCCGUAAAAUCGGUCUCAGUCCGGAUUGGAGUCUGCAACUCGACUCCAUGAAGUUGGAAUCGCUAGUAAUCGUGGAUCAGCAUGCCACGGUGAAUACGUUCCCGGGCCUU
rnacentral:rRNA from 1 species